rnacentral:rRNA from 1 species
GAGUUUGUAUCCUGGCUCAGGACGAACGCUGGCGGCGUGCUUAAAACAUGCAAGUCGAACGGGUCCAGGGAGUGGCAACACUCCGGAAGACCUAGUGGCGAAACGGGUGCGUAACACGUGAGGAACCUGCCCCAGAGACCGGGAUAACCCUCCGAAAGGAGAGCUAAUACCGGGAUGUGCUCAUCGGACCGCCUGGUCUGGUGAGGAAAAUGGAUUCCGCUCUGGGAUGGCCUC